rnacentral:ncRNA from 2 species
CUUUGGUUGGCGCGUGUUGGUUCCUGUCGUAAGGCAGGUGAAAAGGGAAUGCGACAGGCAAGGCGUCACCGCCCCGCCCAAGCGCAGCCGCCCCCGCGACCGUGACCGGAAAGGUCGCCCGAUCCACUGGCCCCCCAUGGGCUGGGAAGGUGGGACGACCGUUGGGCCCAGGCCCAGAAUCCGCAAGCCGGGAGACCUGCCAGCACCUGAUGAUGACG